rnacentral:rRNA from 1 species
AUUGAACGCUGGCGGCAGGCCUAACACAUGCAAGUCGAACGGUAACAGGAAGAAGCUUGCUUCUUUGCUGACGAGUGGCGGACGGGUGAGUAAUGUCUGGGAAACUGCCUGAUGGAGGGGGAUAACUACUGGAAACGGUAGCUAAUACCGCAUAACGUCGCAAGACCAAAGAGGGGGACCUUCGGGCCUCUUGCCAUCGGAUGUGCCCAGAUGGGAUUAGCUAGUAGGUGGGGUAACGGCUCACCUAGGCGACGAUCCCUAGCUGGUCUGAGAGGAUGACCAGCCACACUGGAACUGAGACACGGUCCAGACUCCUACGGGAGGCAGCAGUGGGGAAUAUUGCACAAUGGGCGCAAGCCUGAUGCAGCCAUGCCGCGUGUAUGAAGAAGGCCUUCGGGUUGUAAAGUACUUUCAGCGGGGAGGAAGGGAUUAAAGUUAAUACCUUGGCUCAUUGACGUUACCCGCAGAAGAAGCACCGGCUAACUCCGUG